rnacentral:rRNA from 1 species
GACGAACCGUGCGAACGUUAUUCGGAAUCAUUGGGCGUAAAGCGCACGUAGGCGGUCUGUUAUGUCGGAUGUGAAAGCCCUUGGCUUAACCGAGGAAGUGCAUCCGAAACUGGCAGGCUAGAGUACUAAAGAGGGUCGCGGAAUUCCCGGUGUAGAGGUGAAAUUCGUAGAUAUCGGGAGGAACACCGGUGGCGAAGGCGGCGACCUGGGUAGAUACUGACGCUGAGGUGCGAAAGCGUGGGGAGCAAACAGG